ACACGGGAGGCUUCUUGCAGGCUGCUAUGAACUACAAAGACGAGAGUGAGAUGCGACGGGCUCAAACCACAGACCAUGGACGAUCCCCAACUCUAGCGGCGGGAGAGGAAGGCGACUUCGGAAUUGAACUGCUGCUCCAGCGUCGCUCGCUUCUCCUCGUCCUGCUCUGGAAUCCUUACCAUCUUCACGGCCACCGCCCGUUGCUUGUAGAUCCCUCUGUAUAUCCUACUGUUGGAUCCUGAAGCAAAUUUGUUGCCGAUGAAGAGCUGUGAAAGAUCAGCCAUCCAUUCCUCUCUUUCCCCUCCCGCGUUGGCCUCGGAGCUCUCGGCAUUCCCGGGUUCCAACAGCAUCGACCACGAUUCCAAGCUGUCCCACCUCUUCUUUUCCAUGAUAUCCAUUUCGGAGGGCAAGAGGUUCCUCUUGGGCCACCGAGAAGAAGAAGGAAAAGGAGAGGAGGAGGAGAAGGAAGGAGGAGAAGUGAUCGAACCGGCCCUGCUCUUCUUGCCCAGCCUCAGGACCGGGAAGCAGAAGGCCAUUUCGACCACCGGGCUCGCCCUAGCGGGUACUAGCUGAAAGAGGAGCUGAGGCUCAGGCAAUGGAAGAAUUGCCACUGCAUCCUUGUGGGAAGAUGGCAAAGGUGGUACGUAACGUUCAUCAUCGGAUGUUUGCAAGACACGAUCUUUGGUUGGAGAACAGGUAGCCAAAUCAAAGUAACUUAGAAAUUACAGUUGAUAAGCUCAAGAACACAUGGAACUGGGGAAGGUGAUGAGUUCUAAAGAUGUCUGAGGAGAUGAGCAUGAGUUCUGACGAUGUCUGAGACACAAAACCAUAGAGAAAACUUAGUAGACAAGCCAAGCUCUGGAACGAACCAAGGCAAUGAUCUCGAACCUCGAGUAGCGAGUCGCUA